UUAAAAUAAUUCGCAUCUCUGCUAGUACAGAACUACAAUUCCCAGAAUGCCUUGCUGAGGUUUUUGCCUGUAAAUAGUCUGGCACAUGGUCUUAAAUAUCAGCGUGAUCUGCGCACAGGCUUGGACACAUAAAAAGAAUUGUGUCAGCAGAUACAAAAAAAUUUCCCUUUUCCGACUCGGAGUCGAACAUCCAGGAUUCAUUCAACCACUAGAUACAUCCUCCAAUGCGGCAAACUUACCUCAUAGGAUUGAGGUAACUUUUGAUGCUGAGAUAAUUUUAUUAUACCUAUUCAGUGAGAAAUUGCAGUUUACACUGAGAUAAACAGGACUGAACAGGAGACCAGGAGAGGCUGAAAAUCGAUUGUUAAAUUGCGAAAUCUGAGCUUGAUAACAGCUGGGAUAGAGCACUUGAGAACUCUUUAAUAUGGAAAAUGUUAUAUGCACAAAUAUUUGUAACACAAAGAGAAAUAAGUCAAAACUUUCAGGAAAUCAGAAAGGUUCUAAUUUGGUUAUCUCCCAAAAAAAGAAAGACGGAGAAUCUUCCGACAAGUUAAAAAGAGAACACGAAUUUGUUCAACACGAUAUACCCCAAACAAAAGUAAAACGUCAUAUUUGUUCUUGGUGCAAAAAGCAGUUUUCGCAAAAGUGCCAUCUUAACAGACACAUAAAAAGUCAUACGGGGGAAGCUCCACAUGCGUGUUCAGAAUGUGAAAAAUGCUUUAGUGUAAAGUCCAAUCUUAUCAUACAUAUGAGAAUUCACACAGGGGAGAAACCGUACAAAUGUUCUGAAUGUAAAAGUUGCUUUGUACACAAGAGUCAUCUUGUGGUCCACCAAAGAACUCACACAGGGGUGAAACCCUACAGCUGCCCCGAAUGUAAACAAAGUUUUGCAUACUCUUCAGAUCUAAAAAGGCACCAGAAAAUUCACAUGGGAAUUAGGUAUAAUUGUACCGAGUGCAGCAAGACCUUCAGUCGGAAACAACAUCUCAGUCGUCACCUCAGAAUCCACACAGGCGAAGAGCCAUUCAAGUGUUCAGAAUGUGGGAUGUGCUUUAAUAGGAAAUUCACUCUGGGUGUACAUUACAGAACGCACACAGGAGAAAAACCUUACGAAUGCUUUGAAUGUGAUAAAAAGUUUAGUAUUAAAGCAACCCUUCACCAGCACCAACAGAAGGUUCAUGCUGCCGACGGUUCCUCGUGUUCAUCAUACUUAGAGACUGAGUGAGCUCUAAAGAGCAUAUGAUAGUUUCAGACUGUAAAAAACAUGUUUGAAUAAAUAGCUAGAUUUAAAAAAUUUUUUUAAUUUCAAUGGUCAUAAAAAGGGACAGUAAACAUUUUGAGAUUGUAAUAUAAAAUACUUAAAGAGACAGUCUACACCCUUAAUACGCUUACUGGUUUGGAUUCUAAUCCCCUGAUUAAAUCCAGCCACCAAUCAGCAAGCACUACCCAGGUUCUGAACCAAAAAAGGGCCGGCUCCUAAGCUUACAGUCCUGCUUUUUCAAAUAAAGAUAGCAAGAUAACGAAUAAAAAAUGAUAAUAGAAGUAAAUUAGAACGUUGCUUAAAAUUGCUGCUUUAUUUGAAAGAAAAAAAUUGUGUUUAGUAUCCAGUUAAUUUUAUAAAUAUACUAUACUGCGCUAGAAACCUGUGUACAAAAUAAACUUUUUAAAAAGCUUUUAAAACUAA